ACCGCUUGACACCCUCGUAAGCCCAGCAAAGGAGCUGGUGGCGGACGACGCCGGCCAAACAUAUCUAGGUAUCACGUAUAGGAACUACUUGGAGCUACAACAGAGUAAAAGUCUCAGUGGAAAAUCCUGCUUGGAUCGCCUCCGCUUUUCGAUGUGAUCUCGUUCUAGUCACUGUGUUCAUCAUUUCGUCACUUAAUAUCAGGUGUGCCAUAUUUUAAUCAUAGAAAAGGGAAAAAGUUGAUUGGUGUGGAGCUACAACAGAGUUAAAGUCUCAGUGGAAAAUCCAGCUUGGAUCGCCUCCGCCUUUGAAUAUGAUCUCGGUCUAGUCACCGUGUUCAUCAAUUCGUCACUUAAUAUCACGUGUGCCUUAUUUUAAUUCAUAAAAAAGGGAAAAAGUUAAUUGGUGCUAUGUUGCUCGAGUCAAUCAUGGUAACAUGUACCUAAA
rnacentral:lncRNA from 1 species